rnacentral:rRNA from 1 species
GACGUAGGGCGCGAGCGUUGUCCGGAUUUAUUGGGCGUAAAGAGCUCGUAGGCGGCUUGUCGCGUCGUCCGUGAAAACCCAUGGCUCAACUGUGGGCUUGCGGUCGAUACGGGCAGGCUGGAGUUCGGUAGGGGAGACUGGAAUUCCUGGUGUAGCGGUGAAAUGCGCAGAUAUCAGGGAGGAACACCAAUGGCGAAGGCAGCACUCUGGGACGUGACUGACGCUGAGACGCGAAAAGCGUGGGGAGCAAACAGG